rnacentral:rRNA from 1 species
ACACAUGCAGUCGAGGGGUAACAGAUCUUCGGAUGCUGACGACCGGCGAACGGGUGAGUAACACGUAUGCAACUUACCCAUAACUCGGGAAUAGCCCAAAGAAAUUUGGAUUAAUACCCAAUAAUACAGGCGUACCGCAUGGUAUUCUUCGUUAAAGAAUAAUCGGUUAUGGAUAGGCAUGCGUUCUAUUAGGUAGUUGGUGAGGUAACGGCUCACCAAGCCGACGAUGGAUAGGGGAACUGAGAGGUUGUCCCCCCACACUGGUACUGAGACACGGACCAGACUCCUACGGGAGGCAGCAGUGAGGAAUAUUGGUCAAUGGACGAAAGUCUGAACCAGCCAAAUCGCGUGAAGGAAGAAGGUAUUAUGUAUCGUAAACUUCUUUUGUAAGAGAGUAAAGUGCACUACGUGUAGUGUAUUGCAAGUACCUUACGAAUAAGCAUCGGCUAAUUCCGUGCCAGCAGCCGCGGUAAUACGGAAGAUGCAAGUGUUAUCCGGAUUUAUUGGGUUUAAAGGGUGCGUAGGUGGUCUAAUAAGUCAGUGGUGAAAUCUCUUUGCUUAACAAGGAAAUUGCCAUUGAAACUGUUAGACUUGAGAAUGGACGAGGUAGGCGGAAUUCGUAGUGUAGCGGUGAAAUGCAUAGAUAUUACGAAGAACUCCAAUAGUGUAGACUGCUUACCAGACCAUAUCUGACACUAAGGCACGAAAGUGUGGGUAUCAAACAGGAUUAGAUACCCUGGUAGUCCACACAGUAAACGAUGAAUACUAACUGUUUGCGAUAUACAGCAAGUGGUCGAGCGAAAGCGUUAAGUAUUCCACCUGGGAAGUAUGCCGGCACGGUGAAACUCAAAGGAAUGACGGGGGCCCGCACAGCGAGACAUGUGGUUAUCGAUAUACGCGAGACUACCGGCUCGACGAUAUUGAAUACAUCGAAAGAUGUAGCU